rnacentral:rRNA from 1 species
CAGUAGCCACGGUAAUACGUAGGGUGCGAGCGUUAAUCGGAAUUACUGGGCGUAAAGCGUGCGCAGGCGGUUUUGUAAGACAGGCGUGAAAUCCCCGGGCUCAACCUGGGAAUGGCGCUUGUGACUGCAAAGCUAGAGUGCGGCAGAGGGGGAUGGAAUUCCGCGUGUAGCAGUGAAAUGCGUAGAUAUGCGGAGGAACACCGAUGGCGAAGGCAAUCCCCUGGGCCUGCACUGACGCUCAUGCACGAAAGCAUGGGGAGCAAACAGGAUUAGAUACCCGGGUAGUCCCUGUCUCUUAUAC